GUCUACGGCCAUACCACCCUGAUCACACUUGAUCUCUGAUCUCAGAAGCUAAGCAGGGUCUGGCCUGGUUAGUGCCUGGAUA
rnacentral:rRNA from 1 species